UGAGUUGCCCAAUGUCAU
rnacentral:siRNA from 1 species